AGCCUAGAACUAGGCUGCAAACUCAGAGCACUUCCUUGAGCAUAAUUGAGACUACCUGUCCCCUGCAGGUGGCUCUUUUAACCAGGAGCUAGC
rnacentral:snoRNA from 1 species